rnacentral:rRNA from 1 species
CCUACGGGCGGCUGCAGUAGGGAAUAUUGGACAAUGGGCGCAAGCCUGAUCCAGCCAUGCCGCGUGAGUGAAGAAGGCCCUCGGGUUGUAAAGCUCUUUUGUCCGGAAAGAAAAGCAAUCGGUUAAUACCCGGUUGUUCUGACGGUACCGGAAGAAUAAGCACCGGCUAACUUCGUGCCAGCAGCCGCGGUAAUACGAAGGGGACAAGCGGGGCGCGGAAUUACUGGGCGUAGAGCGUUAGGAGGGGGGUGAAAGCCCUGGGCUCAACCUGGGAAUGGCAUUGGAUACUGGCGGGCUAGAGUGCGGUAGCGGGUAGUGGAAUUCCCGGUGUAGCAGUGAAAUGCGUAGAGAUCGGGAGGAACAUCUGUGGCGAAGGCGACUGCCUGGACCAGCACUGACACUGAGGCACGAAAGCGUGGGGAGCAAACAGGAUUAGAUACCCCAGUAGUC